rnacentral:rRNA from 1 species
UACGUAGGGUGCAAGCGUUAAUCGGAAUUACUGGGCGUAAAGCGUGCGCAGACGGUUGCGUAAGUCAGAUGUGAAAGCCCCGGGCUCAACCUGGGAAUUGCAUUUGAGACUGCGUAGCUAGGGUGCGGAAGAGGGAAGCGGAAUUUCCGGUGUAGCGGUGAAAUGCGUAGAUAUCGGAAGGAACACCAGUGGCGAAAGCGGCUUCCUGGUCCAGCACCGACGUCAGGCACGAAAGCGUGGGGAGCAAACAGGG